AGGACGAACGCUGGCGGCGUGCUUAACACAUGCAAGUCGAGCGGAAAGGCCCUUCGGGGUACUCGAGCGGCGAACGGGUGAGUAACACGUGAGUAAUCUGCCCCUAGCUCUGGGAUAGCUCCGGGAAAACCGGGAUUAAUACCAGAUACGACCACUUUAGACAUCUGUUGUGGUGGAAAGAAUUUUGGCUAGGGAUGAGCUCGCGGCCUAUCAGCUUGUUGGUGAGGUAACGGCUCACCAAGGCGACGACGGGUAGCCGGCCUGAGAGGGCGACCGGCCACACUGGGACUGAGACACGGCCCAGACUCCUACGGGAGGCAGCAGUGGGGAAUAUUGCGCAAUGGGCGAAAGCCUGACGCAGCGACGCCGCGUGGGGGAUGAAGGCCUUCGGGUUGUAAACCCCUUUCAGCAGGGACGAAGCGAAGUGACGGUACCUGCAGAAGAAGCGCCGGCUAACUACGUGCCAGCAGCCGC
rnacentral:rRNA from 1 species